rnacentral:lncRNA from 1 species
AUGAAGCUGUUUGGACUGCAUUUCUCUGCUGUGUGGAUGUUGUGCUGCUGCUGCUGCUGUCUUGUGUAUGGCAGAGGUCAUGGUUUGUGUAUUAAAGAAAAGCUCAUUACAAAAAUCUAUUUAACCACAGAACUGCAAUCUAAAGUCCUGCUGCCGUGCCUUUUUGAACCAGCUCUCUUUGGAUCAGACCUGACCAUGAGUUCGAGUGCUCUGUGGACUCAGAUUAAUAAUGAAACAGUUGACUACAUUUUAGAGAUCAUAGUAAAUGGUCAGAUAAGCUUCUGGAAUAACAGACACAAUAGAAUUAAUGGAUUCGGUGAUGCUGCUGCCUCUGAAAACUUCUCCAUCCUGAUUAGAGAUGUGCGGCUCUCUGAUCUGGGUCUCUACCGCUGUCAACUGUACAGAGACUUCAACUGUUCUCUGGGCUAUAAAGAGAUAGAAAUCAGUCUGGCUGCUGUCGAGUUUUCACUGCUCCGUAACUGGCAGCUCAUAGCUGCAGGAGGAGGAGGAGGAGGAUUUCUGCUGCUCUGUCUGGUCUCUGUGUGUGUUUACUAUACAUGGACAAAACGACAAACAGUCAAUGAAUCAGUCAACCACAGAUCACACAACUGCCAUGAUGUGGAUGGAGACAAAAAUACUGAAAUAACCUAUGCAUCAGUUGUUUUUAAGCCACACAACUGCCAUGACAAUGAAGGUAAUUUUAUUAUGUCAGUUAUGUUGUA